rnacentral:rRNA from 1 species
UACGUAUGGGGCAAGCGUUAUCCGGAUUUACUGGGUGUAAAGGGAGCGCAGGCGGCCUGGCAAGCCUGAUGUGAAACCCCGGGGCUCAACCCCGGGCAUGCAUUGGAAACUGGCGGGCUGGAGUGCCGGAGAGGUAAGCGGAAUUCCUAGUGUAGCGGUGAAAUGCGUAGAUAUUAGGAGGAACACCAGUGGCGAAGGCGGCUUACUGGACGGCAACUGACGCUGAGGCUCGAAAGCGUGGGGAGCAAACAGG